AGAUUGAUCAAUGCAGUAAGAAUGAACUAAACACUAAAACCAAAACAAUGGGGUAAAGGAGGCUAAUUGGUUCUGUAGUGCUGCAGAGUGGGGUGAUAUAUCUCUGUGGGUUCAUUACUAUAAGCAUACCAUUCACAUUGCAGAGUAAUUUCAUUCAUUGUAACAUAUAUAUUAUUAUUUUAAUACAGUGUUGCUAACUAAAAGAGUCAAAUAUUUAAUCCGUGAGAAGUGAAAGCCUACAUAUAUAAAUGGUCAGACAUGUGACUUUUGUAUAAGUUUACCUAAAGUGAAAAGUUACUGGAAGCAAUUUAGAUUCCAGGUAAUUGUGGAAUUGUUACUCAACUACUUAUUUGUGUGUGUGUAAAUAAUGUUACAGUGAAACGUUUGUGAUUCUUUUAAUUAUUAAAACAAGGCACCUCCUUCCUGUGGUCAUUGUUUAUCAAGUAGCUGCUGGAUAUACUGCAUAAGACAAACUGCGUGCUGCAAUCAACACACUAUUUACCUCAAUCAUACAUACACAGUCAACGUACUAUAAAGUGUUGUACUGUGUUAGUAAAAGUACAGAAAACAGGAAGAUGGGAGUGAGGAAACUUUUGAUGAUGUAACUGAGUGGUAAAGCAGAACAGAACGGUACUGAAACCAACAACUAAACAACAUCACCUGACUCUCCUCUCUUCUCCUCUCCUUUCCUCUCCCGCUGUUCUUAAUGCCAUUACCAACCCGGACUGGAGUGGACCGCUCUGGACACGGCAGCCCUUGGCCGUUGCGGCGAAAAAGUCAACCGAAUAAUGAAAAUACAACAUUAAUAAUCAUCACGCUGUGGGCAUUCGCGACCCUCACUUAAAAAAGAAAGAAAAAAAUAACUUUGUUGCUGGAUUACCGUGCAAAAAUUUGGAAAAUGAAUGACAUAGACACACACAAAGGCAGGGGGAGAGUGUCGGACAAAAGGACAUGAGACUGGAACCUGCAGAUGAUCGCUGGCAGCAGUCUCAGUAAUCAUGGAAGACCGCUGCUGAAGACUGAGGGCCUGUUAGGGCAUACAUACUAAACGAAGCGACUUAGAAGAACAACGAGCAAGGGGGCAUCCUGGAUCCGAAGGGGAGGCAGUUUUUCCCCACUGCAGAGGGGCUCACUACCCCUUCCCUCCAGUCUGUCGGUGAAACAAGAUGGCGUCGCAGCUCCACGUGGGCCCUCCCGCGCUGGUUAAUGCCCACUACCAAUGGCACCAGAUAGCUAUGGAGAAACCCAGGUACUGAUGACUGGAGGCCGAGGCAGAGCCCAUCUCCUCUUCCACAGUGUUGUCCUGCUCCAUGUCAUGGAUUUAAAGACAUGCUGGAAAUCCCCAGAUGAAUCAACAUUUAACACUUUGCUGCCACGUCAACCAAAAAGCUGCAAGCGUGUUUUUUUGGGGGGGAUGUUUGAAGGAAAAGAGCUUAAGCAUGUUGGCUGUGGUUAACUUUUUGGAUAAUUUUCUGCCUCAGCAGCCUUGAUACCAGGAAGCUGUGCAGAUGCGAUCAGCUAUUGUGAGUCUGCACAGAAAGAUUUGAUUUUGGGGUUUCAAGUUGGUUUCUCUUGUUUUUUAUUUUUAUUUUUUUUACAACUGAGCUGUGAAAUGUUUUUGAAGGACUAUAUCUGUAAUCUAUUUGAUGAUGAUGGGCACAUCACGCUGCCGCUGGAUCAGGACAAGAUAUUAUUACACCAACAAAUCACAGAAUCACAGAAUUUUAGACUUUGUCUUUAUCUGAGUUCUUUACAAAGAUGUUAAAACAUUUAGAUGCCUGCUCUCUGUUCAUGAGAAUCUUUGUGACAACAUGACAUUUUUAUAACAAAAUGUUGCCUUCUUGUUUGUCUGAAACUUACCACUGCAAAGAUUAGUUGCAGUUGUUGCCAAAAUAUUGUUGUUUCCAGCUUCUCAGAAUAUGAGAACUCUAUGUUUUUCUUUGUCAUACAUUAUAGUGAACAGAAUAUCUUUGGGUUUUGGAUUGUUGGUCAGACAAAUCAAGACAUUUGAAGAUGUCACCUUGGACAUUUUAUAGACCAAAUGAUUAAUCUAGAUAUUGAUCUAGAAUUGAUCACUAAGGUAAAUUAUCAUCAGUUGUAGCCCAACUUUUGUAAAUGGAACAAAGGCAACAUAAUAUACAGAAUUUGUAGUAGUAGAUAAAAUGAACGUUUAGAUCCCACACAGGGACAUUGAAGUGUCACAGCAGUAAAAGGAAUUAAAAGAACAGAUGCACAGUAAUCUUUAAAAAACUAGAAUACUGCAUACUAUAUACUGUCAAAUAAUAUACUGUACAAUAUUGCAAUCUGAGACACAAUUAUUGGAUUGAAUUUUUUAAGAUCCUUGUCUCCUUAAUUAUUCAAGCACACAUUUCUCAUCUAUUACUGUGUCUCAUUAAUUUGUCUUUCAGCUCUGCCUUUCUGUCUCUGUUCCCAUUUUAUUCUGUUUUCUAUUCUCCAAAUAAAAUUCCAAUCAUUUGUUUUGAUUGUGUGUGACAUUGUGAUAUAUUGUUCACCUCAGGGACACUGAAUGUUAAGUGUUAUCUUUAUUAUUUAAAGCAAAUUGUCACUUGCAUUGUUAUUUCUAUUCCAAUGUUAACCACAAAUGUAUACUUGUGUUUUUAAUGGAAGAAUUCUAUUUUUCACAUUUUUUGUUUUGUCUCAUAAAACACAAUUUACAGCUGAGUGUGUGUGCUGACCAGAGAUCCUUACCAGAGCUGAAGCGUCUUGCAAAUGUAAUAUAUGAAAUGAAUCUAUAUGCUAUAAAUAUAUAGUGUGAACAUCUUGUAACAUUUAUGUGAUGUGAUUUAAGUACCGUUUUUGUUCUACAGUUGAAUUCUAUUUUGUAUAGGCGUUAUGAAGAUCAUGACUGUAUUAUAUUUUACAACAACAUAACUUAUGAUAAUUCCACUUUUUCCCUUGUAAUAAAUAUAGCAAUGAUGUAAGAGCAGGACAGUAAGCUUAGUGUUCUCUUCAGAAGCUUGGUAUUAAAAUAGAGACAUCUUACGGUUGUGUCUAAAUAAAGCCUUGAAGCUGUCGUUUAACAUGAUUGUCAAUUCUUUCAACUGUCAUGCUUAUUAAUAGAGCUCUGAAUGAUUUUUCUAAACAGGCGUAGUAUGUUUUAUAUUUUAUCUUUGGAGGUAUUUUUGCAACUUUUUAAAGGCUUGAAUCUGUUUCAAUAAGAUUAACUCUUUGGCGUGAUUUUUAUUUCUGCAGAGCUGCCAAGACAUAUUGCAACAUCCUCUCUGCUGGCCACAAAGAUAUCGGACAGUAAAUGGACAGAAACUGCUUUGUGAUUCUCUCUCUUACAGCCCAUUUGACCAGGUCACGACAUGUGGAGGAAUGGUCCAAGAACAGGAGACAGAUUUGACAGGCACCCUGAAGCAAGCUUCAAUUGCCCAUACACACACAUAUACACAUUUUUGUGGUAUACAGGUUAUCUUGGGUGGGACAUAUAUAUACUGUAGUUGUGUGGCUCCAUUCUUUUCCAGACUCAUUUAAAUGUCUGUACUUUGUAAUGCAAAAAUAUUUGAUACUAAUAAAACAUUUAUUAAAAAUGUA